GCAAGCCGAUGAUGAUUGUUAUCCCUGUCAGAUUCUGAUAAGUUGUUGAAUAACAUGAAUUCCUGAGGCUUGC